rnacentral:lncRNA from 1 species
AUGGAAUGGUUAAUUUACAAGAAUAUGUACAUAUAUACAUACAUAUAUUGUACAUAUACGCAUAUGAUUAAAAAAAUUAUGAACUGAAUGAUUGAAAUAACUUAAAGACAGAGAAGUGCAUCACAACAGGGGAUUAUGUUGAGAUUAGAAGUCAUUUGAUGAGUAAUUAAGAGAGGAUAACACCAAAAAAGACAGAGCAUAGUGGAGAGAGUUUAGCAAAAAAAAAAAAAAGCAUAGUGGAGAGAGUAUGAGAUUUAUUAAAAAUUAAUUAAUUAUGAAAUAAUAUCUACUGUAGAUUGUGUGCACAUGCAUUUCCCCUACUGCAUUAUAGCACCCUCUGUCUAGUUCUUCUCUAUCUUUACUCGUAUAUGAUUUAAUAUUACACAAAUUAUUGAUCUGUUAAGGAUUUUAUUUUAAAU